rnacentral:rRNA from 1 species
UUAUCGGAUUGGGGAGGCCGUGAAGGACACCCAGGAAAUAGCUCCAUCAUAAGAUCGUACCCUAAACCGACACAGGUGGACUGGUAGAGUAUACCAAGGCGCUUGAGAGAACCGUCCUGAAGGAACUCGGCAAAUUGCUUGCGUAACUUCGGGAUAAGCAAGCCCCAUACUUGGGCAACCAUGUAUGGGGGGCACAAACUAGGUGGUAGCGACUGUUUAUCUAAAACACAGGGCUCUGCGAAGUCUGUAAGACGACGUAUAGGGUCUGACGCCUGCCCGGUGCCGGAAGGUUAAGAGGAGAUGUGCAAGCAUUGAAUCGAAGCCCCGGUAAACGGCGGCCGUAACAAUAACGGUCCUAAGGUAGCGAAAUUCCUUGUCGGGUAAGUUCCGACCUGCACGAAGGGCGUAACGACUUCCACACUGUCUCCAGGGCGGACUCAGCGAAAUUGAAAUCCCCGUGAAGAUGCGGGGUUCCCGCGGUCAGACGGAAAGACCCUAUGAACCUUUACUAUAACUUUGCAGUGGCAACAGGAUUGUUACGUGCAGGAUAGGUGGGAGCCUUUGAAGCGGUAGCGCCAGCUAUCGUGGAGGCAACCUUGAGAUACCACCCUUGAUUUUCCUGUUGUCUAACCUAGCCCCUUUAUCGGGGGCAGGGACCCUGCAUGGUGGGUAGUUUGACUGGGGCGGUCGCCUCCCAAAGAGUAACGGAGGCGCGCGAUGGUGAGCUCAGGACGGUCGGAAAUCGUCCUCUGAGUGCAAUGGCAGAAGCUCGCCUGACUGCGACACUGACAAGUGGAGCAGAGCCGAAAGGCGGUCAUAGUGAUCCGGUGGUUUCCGUAUGGAAGGGCCAUCGCUCAACGGAUAAAAGGUACUCUAGGGAUAACAGGCUGAUAGCGCCCAAGCGUCCCCAGCGACGGCGCUGUUUGGCACCUCGAUGUCGGCUCAUCUCAUCCUGGGGCUGGAGCAGGUCCCAAGGGUAUGGCUGUUCGCCAUUUAAAGAGGUACGUGAGCUGGGUUCAGAACGUCGUGAGACAGUUCGGUCCCUAUCUGCCGUGGGUGUUGGAGUCUUGAGAGGAUCUGCCCUUAGUACGAGAGGACCGGGGUGGACGUACCUCUGGUGUACCAGUUGUUCCGCCAGGAGCAGUGCUGGGUAGCUAUGUACGGAAUGGAUAAACGCUGAAGGCAUCUAAGCGUGAAGCCAGCCUCAAAACAAGGACUCCCUAUUAGAGCCGUGGAAGACCACCACGUUGAUAGGCCAGAUGUGGAAGCGCUGUGAGGCGUGAAGCUAACUGGUACUAAUUGCUCGAUUGGCUUGAAUUC